rnacentral:lncRNA from 1 species
CACGGAGGUGACACAGGAGCUGACACAUGAAGGUGACACACAGGUGACACAGGAGGUGACACAGGAGGAGGUGCCACGGAGGUGACACAGGAGCUGACAC